AUUCUCCGGUUUAUCUUCAGAUCGAAUAAAUCUUUUUUGACUUACUAAAGAUUUCCGUGGAGAGGAAUAACUGAGUUUUCAAUUUUUUUUUUAGGUUCUACAUUGUAGUGC